GUGCCAGCAGCCGCGGUAAUACCGGCAGCCCAAGUGAUGGCCGAUCUUAUUGGGCCUAAAGCGUCCGUAGCUGGCCACGCAAGUCCAUCGGGAAAUCCACCUGCCCAACAGGUGGGCGCCCGGUAGAAACUGCGUGGCUUGGGACCGGAAGGCGCGGCGGGUACGUCCGGGGUAGGAGUGAAAUCCCGUAAUCCUGGGCGGACCGCCGAUGGCGAAAGCACGUCGCGAGAACGGAUCCGACAGUGGGGGACGAAAGCCAGGGUCUCGAACCGGAUUAGAAAC
rnacentral:rRNA from 1 species